GAGCGGCAGCGGGAAGUAGCUUGCUACUUUGCCGGCGAGCGGCGGACGGGUGAGUAUGUCUGGGAAACUGCCUGAUGGAGGGGGAUAACUACUGGAAACGGUAGCUAAUACCGCAUGACCUCGCAAGAGCAAAGUGGGGGACCUUCGGGCCUCACGCCAUCGGAUGUGCCCAGAUGGGAUUAGCUAGUAGGUGAGGUAAUGGCUCACCUAGGCGACGAUCCCUAGCUGGUCUGAGAGGAUGACCAGCCACACUGGAACUGAGACACGGUCCAGACUCCUACGGGAGGCAGCAGUGGGGAAUAUUGCACAAUGGGCGCAAGCCUGAUGCAGCCAUGCCGCGUGUGUGAAGAAGGCCUUAGGGUUGUAAAGCACUUUCAGCGAGGAGGAAGGGUUCAGUGUUAAUAGCACUGAGCAUUGACGUUACUCGCAGAAGAAGCACCGGCUAACUCCGUGCCAGCAGCCGCGGUAAUACGGAGGGUGCAAGCGUUAAUCGGAAUUACUGGGCGUAAAGCGCACGCAGGCGGUUUGUUAAGUCAGAUGUGAAAUCCCCGAGCUUAACUUGGGAACUGCAUUKGAAACUGGCAAGCUAGAGUCUUGUAUAGGGGGGU
rnacentral:rRNA from 1 species